UAUGCAGCUCAAAAUAAUGUUAAGGCACCGACAAAUGCAAAACACUGGGCACGAAUAACGUUACAGGUGUAUCAAUUCUUGUGAAGGAUAUGGCUGCAGGAGACAAAUCCGUUUCUGAGUUACUCAGAACUUGUUAACCGCUUAGAUUGUACGUCUUCACCUCAGUCUGAGAGAGUAUUGCAGCAGCGUACUGGAGAUGAAGCGGUCCCUGGUCCAAAUUCUCAUCACAACCGCACAGUGUUAACGUUAGCAAAUGCUAACGCUAUCACAGCUAGCUCCACUCCACGAAACGCUGUUCAGGGUCAUAACACGAACAAGUCAUCAAGUCAAGCAGCUGAGGAAAGGGCUUAAGGAGACCAUGGUAUGGCCGCUUCUGACAGAAAGAUCAGACAUCAUUCCUCUUUUCUUACCAAGGGAAUCAGAGACUGCUCCCUGUUGUGAGGUAAGGUCAGGUCAUAUCUUUUAACAUCUGAAUAGUAAAGGUAUUUGGUUAAUUUAUGAAGGAUGCACAUUAAUUGUUGACACAAAACACCAAUAUACUAUUUUGUAUGCUUGGGUUAGUUGAACAGCUUGGUUACAUUUAAUAAAAAUACACCUAAUGUUGCUGACGCUCUUAAGACCACAAAAUAAGUAAAGCUAUAAAAUGACUGUGGCCUGCCACAGAAGAUGAAAAUGAGAAAGAAGAGGAAUGCUCUCGAGGAUAAAUGCAGAGUGGCAGGUUACCUUCGGACCUUCAUUGAAAAUGCAUCUUGUGCACAACGAAAAGCCCUCAUCAAGUUUUGGACAGGAUGGGAAGUCUUGCCGAGAGAAAUGACUGUGGAAGUGGUCAACAGCAGUCUUCCACCUGUUUUGAAGUACUACGUCUUCCUGCACACUACUGUACCUAUAAGUCAUUUCUAAUGGACAUUCAGGUGUGUCUCAAAUCUACUGACUCAGGUUUUGGUCUGGUUUAGGAUUGAUUCCAUAACCACAUGGUAAGAUUAGACCAUUUCUUCUUUCUUGCAUCACAUUACUGUAUUCAGUGUUCAAAGAAAUGGACAAUCUAGUGAGUUCUAGUUCCUUUUAAUACACUUCACAGUGAAAAAUACACAGUACAGGUGAGCAUUUAUGGGUUUUUUUUUUUAUAUAAACUGACAAAGAGUUCAGAUAUCAAAAUAAGUUGUUCACUGUACAUUAUAAAUUACACUGUUUUAUUUAUACUCGCUACAGGUACAAAAAAAUUUUCUAGAAAAAAUUAUUUGAAUUAAGAUGUUACACUACUGUUCUGUGUUCAUUGUAUUAAAUCUGCUCAGAGUUGACAUGUACUGUACAUCCAACCAAGAAAUGAAUAUCAUUAAAGUGACAGCUGUAUAAAACAAAUCCUGUUUUAUAGCCACCCACUGUUUUGUUGAAAAUGAAAUUGGUUAUGCUGUUUUGAGUCAGU
ensembl:lncRNA